UUGAUCCUGGCUCAGAUUGAACGCUGGCGGCAUGCCUUACACAUGCAAGUCGAACGGCAGCGCGGGAGCAAUCCUGGCGGCGAGUGGCGAACGGGUGAGUAAUAUAUCGGAACGUGCCCUGGAGUGGGGGAUAACCAGUCGAAAGACUGGCUAAUACCGCAUACGCUCUCUGGAGGAAAGUGGGGGAUCGCAAGACCUCAUGCUCGUGGAGCGGCCGAUAUCUGAUUAGCUAGUUGGUGGGGUAAAGGCCCACCAAGGCGACGAUCAGUAGCUGGUCUGAGAGGACGACCAGCCACACUGGGACUGAGACACGGCCCAGACUCCUACGGGAGGCAGCAGUGGGGAAUUUUGGACAAUGGGGGCAACCCUGAUCCAGCAAUGCCGCGUGUGUGAAGAAGGCCUUCGGGUUGUAAAGCACUUUUGUUCGGAAAGAAAUCGCUCUGGCUAAUACCUGGAGUGGAUGACGGUACCGGAAGAAUCAGCACCGGCUAACUACGUGCCAGCAGCCGCGGUAAUACGUAGGGUGCAAGCGUUAAUCGGAAUUACUGGGCGUAAAGCGUGCGCAGGCGGUUGUGCAAGACAGAGGUGUAAUCCCCGGGCUUAACCUGGGAACGGCCUUUGUGACUGCACGGCUAGAGUGUGUCAGAGGGGGGUAGAAUUCCACGUGUAGCAUGAAAUGCGUAAAGAUGUGGAGGAAUACCGAUUGGCGAAGCAGCCCCUGGGAAUAACACUGACGCUUCAUGCACCGAAAGCGUUGGGGGAAGCCAAACAGGAUUAAGAUACCCUGUUAGUCCACCGCCCUUAAACGAUGUAACUAGUUGUUCGGGAUUAAUUUCCCUUGGUAACGCAGCUAACGCGUGAAGUUGACCGCCUGGGGAGUACGGUCGCAAGAUUAAAACUCAAAAGGAAUUGACGGGGACCCGCACAAGCGGUGGAUGAUGUGGAUUAAUUCGAUGCAACGCGAAAAACCUUACCUACCCUUGACAUGGUCGGAACCCUGGAGAGAUCUGGGGGUGCUCGAAAGAGAACCGGCGCACAGGUGCUGCAUGGGCGUCGUCAGCUCGUGUCGUGAGAUGUUGGGUUAAGUCCCGCAACGAGCGCAACCCUUGUCAUUAGUUGCUACGAAAGGGCACUCUAAUGAGACUGCCGGUGACAAACCGGAGGAAGGUGGGGAUGACGUCAAGUCCUCAUGGCCCUUAUGGGUAGGGCUUCACACGUCAUACAAUGGUGCAUACAGAGGCCNCNCCAACCCGCGAGGGGGAGCUAAUCCCAGAAAGUGCAUCGUAGUCCGGAUUGCAGUCUGCAACUCGACUGCAUGAAGUUGGAAUCGCUAGUAAUCGCGGAUCAGCAUGUCGCGGUGAAUACGUUCCCGGGUCUUGUACACACCGCCCGUCACACCAUGGGAGCGGGUUUUACCAGAAGUGGGUAGCCUAACCGCCAAGGAGGGCGCUUACCACGGUAUGGAUUCGUGACUGGGGUGAAGUCGUAACAAGGUAGACCGUAUCGGAAGGUGCGGCUGGAUCACCUCC
rnacentral:rRNA from 1 species